rnacentral:rRNA from 1 species
UUUAGCUACAGGCUUAACACAUGCAAGUCGAGGGGCAGCAUGGUCUUAGCUUGCUAAGGCCGAUGGCGACCGGCGCACGGGUGAGUAACACGUAUCCAACCUGCCGUCUACUCUUGGACAGCCUUCUGAAAGGAAGAUUAAUACAAGAUGGCAUCAUGAGUCCGCAUGUUCACAUGAUUAAAGGUAUUCCGGUAGACGAUGGGGAUGCGUUCCAUUAGAUAGUAGGCGGGGUAACGGCCCACCUAGUCUUCGAUGGAUAGGGGUUCUGAGAGGAAGGUCCCCCACAUUGGAACUGAGACACGGUCCAAACUCCUACGGGAGGCAGCAGUGAGGAAUAUUGGUCAAUGGGCGAGAGCCUGAACCAGCCAAGUAGCGUGAAGGAUGACUGCCCUAUGGGUUGUAAACUUCUUUUAUAAAGGAAUAAAGUCGGGUAUGGAUACCCGUUUGCAUGUACUUUAUGAAUAAGGAUCGGCUAACUCCGUGCCAGCAGCCGCGGUAAUACGGAGGAUCCGAGCGUUAUCCGGAUUUAUUGGGUUUAAAGGGAGCGUAGAUGGAUGUUUAAGUCAGUUGUGAAAGUUUGCGGCUCAACCGUAAAAUUGCAGUUGAUACUGGAUAUCUUGAGUGCAGUUGAGGCAGGCGGAAUUCGUGGUGUAGCGGUGAAAUGCUUAGAUAUCACGAAGAACUCCGAUUGCGAAGGCAGCCUGCUAAGCUGCAACUGACAUUGAGGCUCGAAAGUGUGGGUAUCAAACAGGAUUAGAUACCCUGGUAGUCCACACGGUAAACGAUGAAUACUCGCUGUUUGCGAUAUACUGCAAGCGGCCAAGCGAAAGCGUUAAGUAUUCCACCUGGGGAGUGCGCCGGCAACGGUGAAACUCAAAGGAAUUGACGGGGGCCCGCACAAGCGGAGGAACAUGUGGUUUAAUUCGAUGAUACGCGAGGAACCUUACCCGGGCUUAAAUUGCAGAUGAAUUACGGUGAAAGCCGUAAGCCGCAAGGCAUCUGUGAAGGUGCUGCAUGGUUGCCGUCAGCUCGUGCCGUGAGGUGUCGGCUUAAGUGCCAUAACGAGCGCAACCCUUGUUGUCAGUUACUAACAGGUUCCGCUGAGGACUCUGACAAGACUGCCAUCGUAAGAUGUGAGGAAGGUGGGGAUGACGUCAAAUCAGCACGGCCCUUACGUCCGGGGCUACACACGUGUUACAAUGGGGGGUACAGAGGGCCGCUACCACGCGAGUGGAUGCCAAUCCCCAAAACCUCUCUCAGUUCGGACUGGAGUCUGCAACCCGACUCCACGAAGCUGGAUUCGCUAGUAAUCGCGCAUCAGCCACGGCGCGGUGAAUACGUUCCCGGGCCUUGUACACACCGCCCGUCAAGCCAUGGGAGCCGGGGGUACCUGAAGUGCGUAACCGCGAGGAGCGCCCUAGGGUAAAACUGGUGACUGGGGCU